AUACGUAGGUGACAAGCGUUAUCCGGAUUUACUGGGCGUAAAGGGCGUGUAGGCGGUCUUGCAAGUCAGAAGUGAAAUUCCUGAGCUCAACUCGGGCGCUGCUUCUGAAACUGCAGGACUUGAGUGCUGGAGGGGAUAGCGGAAUUCCUAGUGGAGCGGUAAAAUGCGCAGAUAUUAGGAAGAACACCGGUGGCGAAGGCGGCUAUCUGGACAGUAACAGACGCUGAGGCGCGAAAGCGUGGGGAGAAAACAGGAUUAGAUACCCUGGUAGUCCACGCCGUAAACGAUGAUGGCUAACCGCUGGUUUAUUCGGAUCAGCGGCCAAGCGAAAGCGAUAAGCCAUCCACCUGGGGAGUACGACCGCAAGGUUGAAACUCAAAGGAAUUGACUGGG
rnacentral:rRNA from 1 species